GGUGAUUCCUAUGUGCCUGAGGUCUUCCCAAGCAUUACAACUGGUCGGGAUCCCACAUCAAAUGAAAAUGAAGAAAGUUAUUGUGAUCACUGUCAUAAAGUGCUGUAAAACUGGUGCAAGUGGGAUGAGAAUCAGCCUGGCCAUGUUAGCAACUUUUUGACAUCUGUGUAAAUCUGCUGAUUUCCACGGAGUUACCUAUGGCAACUAAAGAUAGGAGGAGAAAACAUUGGCUGGAGAACCAGGAAAUGAAAAGCCUUAGGAUAAAGAGCAAAACAGAUCAAUCCAGGAGAAGUCAAACUCCCUGUUUCCUAGACUGGCUCAGUGUGGCAGCAGUUUCAGUUGUGUCUCCGUUAUACACAAGCAGACUCAACAACAACAUGCCCUGCCACUGGGGGAACAAAUUCCUGAUGUUGCCAAAUGAGUCCUAAGGAAGCAGGGAACAAGGAAAGCCUAACAGCCACUGGAAUUUGCAGGACCCACAUGCCGAAGGACCACACUGAGCAGCAGUGAGAUCUGAGUAGGGCUGUGACACACAGAGCAGGGAAGGAGGAGCGCUGAAGACCGGGAGAAGCAGGAUGAAAGCACAGACACCCACCAGCACAGCAGGGUUGUGAACUGGAGGCUGAAGAGCUCUGGGGAGGAAUA
ensembl:lncRNA